GUGCUUGCUUCAGUAGCACAUAUGCUAAAAUUGGAAUGAUACAGAGAAAAUUAGCAUGGUCCCUGAGAAAAGGAUGACAUGUAAAUUUGUGAAGCAUUACAUAUUUUA